GGCCUGUCUGAAAGGAGUGAAUUAUCUCAGUUGUUCACAUUCAGUUGUAGAUCAAAUUCUUUAUUCUACUCUUUCCCCUCCCUUCUCACUAUUACACUUGACUUGUCUUUA
ensembl:misc_RNA Y_RNA Y RNA